rnacentral:misc_RNA from 1 species
GAUGAGAACGUAGCGAAAUGCGAUACUUGGUGUGAAUUGCAGAAUCCCGUGAACCAUCGAGUCUUUGAACGCAAGUUGCGCCCGAAGCCACUAGGCCGAGGGCACGCCUGCCUGGGCGUCACACGUCGUUGCCCCCCCCCAUCUACUCCUUCGGGAUUGCGGGGGGCGGAUGAUGGCCUCCCGUGCGCCUAGCCGCGCGGUUGGCAUAAAUACCAAGUCCUCGGCGACGCACGCCACGACAAUCGGUGGUUGCGAAACCUCGGUUGCCCGUCGUGUGCGUUCGUCGCGCAUCGAGGGCUCGAAAAAAUGCUCGGCUCCGGCUCGGCUUUCAACGCGACCCCAGGUCAGGCGGGGUUACCCGCUGAAUUUAAGCAUAUCAAUAAGCGGAGGA